rnacentral:rRNA from 1 species
UGCCAGCAGCCGCGGUAAUACGGAGGGAGCUAGCGUUGUUCGGAAUUACUGGGCGUAAAGCGUGCGUAGGCGGAUCGACAAGUUGGGGGUGAAAUCCCGGGGCUUAACCCCGGAACUGCCCUCAAAACUGUCGAUCUAGAGACCGGGAGAGGUUAGUGGAAUUCCGAGUGUAGAGGUGAAAUUCGUAGAUAUUGGGAAGAACACCAGUGGCGAAGGCGGCUUUCUGGUCCGUUACUGACGCUGAGGCGCGAAAGCGUGGGGAGCAAACAGGAUUAGAUA